CUGAACUUAAGCAUAUCAAUAAGCGGAGGAAAAGAAACCAACCGGGAUUGCCUCAGUAACGGCGAGUGAAGCGGCAAGAGCUCAAAUUUGAAAGCUGGCUCCUUCGGAGUCCGCAUUGUAAUUUGCAGAGGAUGCUUUGGGUGCGGCCCCCGUCUAAGUGCCCUGGAACGGGCCGUCAGAGAGGGUGAGAAUCCCGUCUUGGGCGGGGUGUCCGUGCCCGUGUAAAGCUCCUUCGACGAGUCGAGUUGUUUGGGAAUGCAGCUCUAAAUGGGUGGUAAAUUUCAUCUAAAGCUAAAUACUGGCCGGAGACCGAUAGCGCACAAGUAGAGUGAUCGAAAGAUGAAAAGCACUUUGAAAAGAGAGUUAAACAGCACGUGAAAUUGUUGAAAGGGAAGCGCUUGCAACCAGACUCGCCCGCGGGGUUCAGCCGGCAUUCGUGCCGGUGUACUUCCCCGUGGGCGGGCCAGCGUCGGUUUGGGCGGCCGGUCAAAGGCCCCUGGAAUGUAGUGCCCUCCGGGGCACCUUAUAGCCAGGGGUGCAAUGCGGCCAGCCUAGACCGAGGAACGCGCUUCGGCUCGGACGCUGGCAUAAUGGUUGUAAACGACCCGUCUUGA
rnacentral:rRNA from 1 species